ensembl:lncRNA
GUACAUAUCAACUAGUAACAUAAUAUGUUAUUCCGCAUGUAGGCAACUGAAAAAUAGAAGGGUCAGGGUCCAAAUUACACUUGGAGAGAAAAGAAAAAUGGUUGACUUGUUUCCUGAAGUAUAUAUUAUUUUCCUUCCUCUCUCGCUCAGCUUCACACAAAGUACUCAAGACUCAGUGUUUCAGACCUGCGUUAAAAGCUGAAGAUGCUGGGAGUCGACGUGGGGGAAUGGGGGAGCCGUCGUGUUCAACAAGCAGAUGUUGUAUUUGAGAAUCGGCUCUGGGGAGUGAAACCGAGGAAAAUAACAAGUUCUAGAAGAAGUCCAUAUUGAGUCUAGUGAAGGAGAAAGCUGACUGCUUGUUUAACAUCAGGCCAUGAAGCAGAGCUGUCUCAAGCAUGUCAAACUUCGUCUCUCCAAGAAGUCUGAAGGAAAACAGGUUGCUCAUUUUACUUAUUAAAAUUCUCUAAUGAACAUUAAACUGGUGUUCGCUUGUUCCCAACUU